rnacentral:misc_RNA from 1 species
UACGAAGGGGGCUAGCGUUGUUCGGAAUUACUGGGCGUAAAGGGCGUGUAGGCGGACCCGCCAGUCAGGGGCGAAAUCUCGGGGCUCAACCUCGGAACUGCCUUUGAUACUGCUGGUCUUGAGGACGGGAGAGGGUGGUGGAAUUCCCAGUGUAGAGGUGAAAUUCGUAGAUAUUGGGAAGAACACCGGUGGCGAAGGCGGCGAACUGGACCGUAUCUGACGCUGAGGCGCGAAAGCGUGGGGAGCAAACAGG